CCUCUGUGGAGUCUUUCGUGUGAGCUAAGAUCUUUGGAUGCAGAUUGCAUCAAGGAUGAUUCAGCUGCUGUAACUUCAGCAUGAACUCUCCUGAGGUUGGGAAGAAAGCAUGGCUGAUCUCCUUGGAUAUCUCUAAAAGUGUCAUUUUUAAAGCCAAAGGGGGAAAGAAAGCUGCAGUGAGUAGCAGAUGUGUGAAUAUCCCUUGGCAGGAAUAGCUGACAGCUGGCCAUCCCCAUGGCCCUGCUCAUGCUCCUCUCCCCAGCUCCUUUAAGGGCACCUUUGUCCCUUUCAGAGGGAACUUCCCUUAUGAGAGCACUGCAGGAUGCAUUAUCACAUAGGAGGACCCAAGUCACGGGUGAUGUGCUCUGGAAGCUGCUAGUAUUCAGGUCUAAGCAGAGAAAUGGGGUGAGAUGGGUUCGGAGCACACACCUGAGCUCCCUGGGGCAGCAGUGUGCUCUGGUGCCCCCUGGGCUCCUGCAGAGCUGCUCUGUCCCAUU